UACGGAGGAUGCGAGCGUUAUCCGGAUUUAUUGGGUUUAAAGGGUGCGUAGGUGGGAUGCCAAGUCAGCGGUAAAAAUGCGGUGCUCAACGCCGUCGAGCCGUUGAAACUGGCGUUCUUGAGUGGGCGAGAAGUAUGCGGAAUGCGUGGUGUAGCGGUGAAAUGCAUAGAUAUCACGCAGAACUCCGAUUGCGAAGGCAGCAUACCGGCGCCCUACUGACGCUGAGGCACGAAAGCGUGGGUAUCGAACAGG
rnacentral:rRNA from 1 species